rnacentral:rRNA from 1 species
UACGUAGGGGGCAAGCGUUGUCCGGAAUCAUUGGGCGUAAAGCGCGUGUAGGCGGCUUUGCAAGUCGGGUGUGAAAGCCCUCAGCUCAACUGAGGAAGUGCGCCCGAAACUGCAGAGCUUGAGUACCGGAGAGGAUGGCGGAAUUCCCCAAGUAGAGGUGAAAUUCGUAGAUAUGGGGAGGAACACCGGUGGCGAAGGCGGCCAUCUGGACGGAUACUGACGCUGAGACGCGAAAGCGUGGGGAGCAAACAGG